GCACCGAAUCAGCCCUUAUUAGGCUCAAAAAAACACACAUCCUUUUUGAAGACGACGAUCUGAGCGUAGUUCGUUCAGCUCUCACAAAUAAUGGAAGACAAACGGAAAGACAACACCGGAACUCCGCCACCACUCGCGGUCGCCGACACUGCUUCUCACGCGCCUGAUGUUCCGUCCGUUGAAGCACCUACAUCUCGACGGAGAGGUGGCGGCCAUAAACGAAAAGCAAGCGCCAUUGGAAGUAGCGGCGCUAGUUCAACUCCUCCUUCAACUUCCUCCAAACGUCACGCGCGUGAGGCGCGUGAGGCACGUGAGAAGCAGUUAGUAGUGCCUUUCCCGCCGAUCCACAAUGGACCGCUCACAAGAGCUAGGCAACAGCCAAACAACGCCGCCGGAGCUGGUUCUCCGUUAGGUUUUGGUGUUAAGAGCGAAUCGGAGGUGCCGCCGAAGGCGGAGGGCGGCGGAGAAGAGGCGGUGAAGGUUGACAAAGAGUCGAAUAAAGCGAAGGAAGAUUUGGAAGCAUUAGAGAAUGAAAUUGAAGCUGAAAUUGAGGCAAUUAGGUCACGAAAUCCUAAUGUUCAUGUUGUGCCUACUCAUGCAGGUUGGUUCUCUUGGUCAAAAGUUCAUCCUUUGGAGAAGCGAACAAUGCCGUCUUUCUUCAAUGAGAAGUCGCAAAGUAGGACUCCAGAAAUAUACAUGGAGAUAAGGAAUUGGAUCAUGAAAAAGUAUCACACUGACCCAAAUAGUCAAAUUGAGUUGAAUGAUUUGUCCGAGCUCUCAGCAGGAGAUUUGGACGUAAAACAGGAAGUGAUGGAGUUUUUGGACUACUGGGGUUUAAUUAAUUACCACCCUUUCCCACAAACCAAUUCGGUUAUGCAAGCUGAUAUUGAUGCGGACGAGGCUGCAAAGACAGAUUCUUUGAUUGAUAAGCUUUUUCGAUUCGAAUCAGAUGAAACAUGGACCCCGGUUCUUCCCAGGUCUAGUGUAGCUACUCCUUCUGUGUCUUCUGGGUUCUUUCCAGAGUCGGCUAUUGCUGAAGAACUAAUGAAGUCUGAAGGGCCAGCUGUUGAGUACCAUUGCGACUCUUGCUCAGCUGACUGCUCAAGAAAGCGGUAUCAUUGCCAAAAGGAGGCAGAUUUUGACUUGUGUAGCGAAUGCUUCAACAAUGGGAAGUUUGGAUCUGGGAUGGUCCCUUCAGAUUUCCUUCUUAUGGAGCCUGGUGAGGCUGGUGGUGCAAGUGGUGGGAAGUGGACAGAUCAGGAGACUCUUCUUCUCCUUGAGGCAUUAGAGCUUUAUAAGGAAAACUGGAAUGAGAUCGCUGAGCAUGUGGCUACAAAGACCAAAGCUCAGUGUAUUCUGCACUUCAUCGAAAUGCCAAUAGAGGAUAUAUUCCUGGAUACUGAUCCUGAAAGUAACAAGCGUGUUAAAGAAAAUGAGGAUGCAGUUUUGUCUAAAGAUGAUACAUCAGCCGGUAUUGAUGCCCCAGAAACGACUGAGAGUAAGGAUGAUGGAAAUGACAAUCAGUUUUCAUCCAUGGUGGAAACAUCAUCCACAGUGGAAACAUCGAAGCCAGAGAAUGUGAAUGGGCUAACUCCUCAGGAGGAAGUUGGUGAGAACUGUGCACUCAAUGCACUGAGGGAUGCAUUUACAGCUGUUGGUUUUUAUCCUCCACCUGGAGAACGUGUUUCAUUUGCUGAAGCUGACAAUCCUGUAAUGGCACUGGCAGCGUUCCUGGUGAAACUGGUAGAAGCUAAAAGGGUCACUGCCUCAGUACGAAGCUCUUUGAAAUCCAUUUCUAGUAAUCCUUCUGGUGAGCAGCUAGCCUUAAGGCACUGUUUUGUUUUGGAAGAUCCACCAGAUGAUGGGAAGACAUCACCUGAUUCAGAUAGACCUGCUAAUGGAUCAGUUGAUCUAGACGAUAAGAAAGAUGAGGAUGGCAAUGUUGAAAUGGAGAAAGAGGAAAAAUUGACAUCAGUUACUGAUGAGAAUGGCUUGACAAUUGGACAAGAUAAAGAGACCAAAGGUGAAGCAAACGUUGACAAAAAGUGCGAAGAGCCGGAUGGUGAAAACCAUGAAGAGAAAAAUGAAGAGGAACUUGAAGAAGCGACACAUUUGGUUUCUACGAGUGACGAAAAUCCAGAGAAAUCUGAUACUGUAAAGCAAUCUGGUCAAAUUCCUACUGACAAAGAGGGCGAACCUGCAUCACUUAAAGAACCAGAUGAUGCAGGCUUGGCAGUGGGACAGACACCAAGUACCACAGCAGAAUCAGAUGUUUUAGUGUCUAAUUUAGAGCUCCCACCCGGUUUCGAAAAGGAAUCAGUUGAUGGAGCUUUAGUGGCCAUUCGUACUGAUUCUCCAGAUACUCCUAAAGACGAGGACAUGAUGCCUGCUUUGCAAACAAAGGAGCCUGAGCAAUCCAUGAAAUCAAACUCUGCACUUGAAAUUGACGAAAAUAAAGGUGCUGGAGAAGCGAAAGACACUGUAGAUGGGAGAAAAGAUCCUUUGAAGACCAAAGAUGAUCUGGAUAUUGAUAAGAUCAAACAUGCAGCAGUCACUGCUUUAUCAGCUGCUGCAGUCAAGGCGAAAUAUCUUGCAGAUCAAGAAGAGGACCAAAUUCGGCAGCUUACAACGUCAUUAAUAGAGAAGCAGUUACACAAGCUGGAGAGCAAGUUAACUUUCUUCAAUGACAUGGAUAAUGUUGUUAUGAGGGUCAGAGAACUGUUAGAGAGGUCAAAACAGAGGCUUAUCCAUGAACGUAAUCAAAUAAUUGCAUCAAGAUAUGGUUCUUCAGCUCGUCCUAUGCCACCUUCGGUACCUGCUAACCGGCCUGGAGUGCCUCCUACUAAUUCAGUGCCUAGGCAUCUAACUGCAAUGAGCUCCCAGAGGCUACCGAAUUCAAGACCCAUUAUAGCAGGAACUCCUAUACCAAGCUCUUUUAUGUCUACAGCAGUUUCAGGAAAUUCAAUGCAGCCUUCAAAGUAGGAUAAGCUUCUUUCAGUUAGAACUAAGUAAUAUCUGCUCAAGUGCAUGAGGAUGAACUCAUCUAGAAAUCAAAAGAGCGAAGAAACGGUCUUCAGAUAUCUUUCAUCAUGUGAAUAGCCCGACUGGUUUGAAUUGGAGUUUUCCUCAAAUAGUACCAUUUUACUUCUCUAGUGGAUGCUGAUGACCGGGAUUGGCCUGUUCUCUUGAUCAUUGAAAUUGAUUCAAAGUGAAACUUCUGGAUAUUCAUUGUUUCACCAAAAACCGCUGUACCUGUAAUGUUAUGGUUACGAUUUGUUGUCCGUCAUCAAAUAGUGAUGGAUUUGUGGCCUUUGGACUGUGUUGAAUGAUCUGCUUUUGCACACUAGUUUAAAUCAAUGUUCUCUUGCACGAAUGUAUUUAAGCAACUGUUCUGUAAGAUUAUAAUGAAAAGAAUAGACUUUCUUCUA